UAGGAAGGAAGACGGGUCUUUCUGGAUGC
rnacentral:piRNA from 1 species